CCUACGGGAGGCAGCAGUCGAGAAUCAUUCACAAUGGGGGAAACCCUGAUGGUGCGACGCCGCGUGGGGGAAUGAAGGUCUUCGGAUUGUAAACCCCUGUCAUGUGGGAGCAAAUUAAAAAGAUAGUACCACAAGAGGAAGAGACGGCUAACUCUGUGCCAGCAGCCGCGGUAAUACAGAGGUCUCAAGCGUUGUUCGGAAUCACUGGGCGUAAGGCGUGCGUAGGCUGUUUCGUAAGUCGGGUGUGAAAGGCGCGGGCUCAACCCGCGGACGGCACAUGAUACUGCGAGACUAGAGUAAUGGAGGGGGAACCGGAAUUCUCGGUGUAGCAGUGAAAUGCGUAGAUAUCGAGAGGAACACUCGUGGCGAAGGCGGGUUCCUGGACAUUAACUGACGCUGAGGCACGAAGGCCAGGGGAGCGAAAGGGAUUAGAUACCCCAGUAGUC
rnacentral:rRNA from 1 species